rnacentral:rRNA from 1 species
GACGGGUGAGUAACACGUGGGUAACCUGCCUGUAAGACUGGGAUAACUCCGGGAAACCGGGGCUAAUACCGGAUGGUUGUUUGAACCGCAUGGUUCAAACAUAAAAGGUGGCUUCGGCUACCACUUACAGAUGGACCCGCGGCGCAUUAGCUAGUUGGUGAGGUAACGGCUCACCAAGGCAACGAUGCGUAGCCGACCUGAGAGGGUGAUCGGCCACACUGGGACUGAGACACGGCCCAGACUCCUACGGGAGGCAGCAGUAGGGAAUCUUCCGCAAUGGACGAAAGUCUGACGGAGCAACGCCGCGUGAGUGAUGAAGGUUUUCGGAUCGUAAAGCUCUGUUGUUAGGGAAGAACAAGUACCGUUCGAAUAGGGCGGUACCUUGACGGUACCUAACCAGAAAGCCACGGCUAACUACGUGCCAGCAGCCGCGGUAAUACGUAGGUGGCAAGCGUUGUCCGGAAUUAUUGGGCGUAAAGGGCUCGCAGGCGGUUUCUUAAGUCUGAUGUGAAAGCCCCCGGCUCAACCGGGGAGGGUCAUUGGAAACUGGGGAACUUGAGUGCAGAAGAGGAGAGUGGAAUUCCACGUGUAGCGGUGAAAUGCGUAGAGAUGUGGAGGAACACCAGUGGCGAAGGCGACUCUCUGGUCUGUAACUGACGCUGAGGAGCGAAAGCGUGGGGAGCGAACAGGAUUAGAUACCCUGGUAGUCCACGCCGUAAACGAUGAGUGCUAAGUGUUAGGGGGUUUCCGCCCCUUAGUGCUGCAGCUAACGCAUUAAGCACUCCGCCUGGGGAGUACGGUCGCAAGACUGAAACUCAAAGGAAUUGACGGGGGCCCGCACAAGCGGUGGAGCAUGUGUUUAAUUCGAAGCAACGCGGAGACCUUACCAGGUCUUGACAUCCUCUGACAAUCCUAGA